AACGAACGCUGGCGGCAGGCUUAACACAUGCAAGUCGAACGGAUCCUUCGGGAUUAGUGGCAGACGGGUGAGUAACGCGUGGGAACGUACCCUUUGCUACGGAAUAACUCAGGGAAACUUGAGCUAAUACCGUAUGUGCCCUACGGGGGAAAGAUUUAUCGGCAAAGGAUCGGCCCGCGUUGGAUUAGCUAGUUGGUGGGGUAAUGGCCUACCAAGGCGACGAUCCAUAGCUGGUCUGAGAGGAUGAUCAGCCACACUGGGACUGAGACACGGCCCAGACUCCUACGGGAGGCAGCAGUCGGGAAUAUUGGACACUGGGCGCAAGCCUGAUCCAGCCAUGCCGCGUGAGUGAUGAAGGUCUUAGGAUUGUAAAGCUCUUUCACCGGUGAAGAUAAUGACGGUAGCCGGAGAAGAAGCCCCGGCUAACUUCGUG
rnacentral:rRNA from 1 species